rfam:Bacteroidetes bacterium RBG_13_43_22 RBG_13_scaffold_8092, whole genome shotgun sequence.
CGGGGUGUAGCGCAGUUGGUAGCGUACUACGUUCGGGACGUAGGGGCCGGAAGUUCGAGUCUUCUCACCCCGA